rnacentral:rRNA from 1 species
ACGAACGCUGGCGGCGUGCUUAACAGAUGCAAGUCGAACGCUGAAGCUCAGCUUUUGUUGGGUGGAUGAGUGGCGAACGGGUGAGUAACACGUGAGUAACCUGCCUCAUUCUUUGGGAUAACGCCCGGAAACGGGUGCUAAUACUGGAUAUUCACUUGUCGUCGCAUGGGGGUUGGUGGAAAGGGAUUUGCUGGUGGGGGAUGGGGUCGCGGCCUAUCAGCUUGUUGGUGGGGUGAUGGCCGACCAAGGCCUGGACGGGUAGCCGGCCUGAGAGGGUGACCGGUCACAUUGGGACUGACAUACGGCCCAGACUCCUACGGGAGGCAGCAGUGGGGAAUAUUGCACAAUGGGCGCAAGCCUGAUGCAGCGACGCCGCGUGAGGGAUGGCGGCCUUCGGGUUGUGAACCUCUUUCGCUCAUGGUCAAGCCGCAACAAUGGUUGUGGUGAGGGUAGUGGAUAAAGCAGCGCCGGCUAACUACGUG